AUGUUUGACGGAGUUGAGCGGAUGCUUCGUGGAGUCAGGCAUGUGCCAGGGCUAAGGAGGAAUCUAAUUCCGCUUGGUGUUCUUCAUGAUGGUGGUAUGGUAUUCCAUUGUGAUCGGGAUAAGAAAACCAUGAGAAUCAUGGAAGAUGAGGUGACCGUGAUGAUUGGAGCGAGGACGAUGAUGUAG
rnacentral:rRNA from 1 species